CCAGUUCAUCCCAGUCCAUCCCAGUCCCCUCCCAGUCCAUCCCAGUUCCUCUCAUCCUGUCCCAAUUCCCUCCCAGUCCCUUCUGGUGCCACCUGAGGCACACUCCAGUGCCCCCCAGUCCCUCCCAGUGCCCCCCCAGUACCUCCCAGUCCUCCCCAGUGUUUCCCAGUGCCUCCCAGUCCCUCCCAGUUCCCACUUUGGUCUUCCUGGGCCAAGCUGUUAUAAUUAUUUGCCUCUACCUCACCUGGGUCGUGCCCCACAUCCCCCCCAGUCCAUCCCAGUCCAUCCCAGUGCUUCCCAGUCCCCUCCCAGUCCCUCCCAGUGCCCACUUCGGUCUUUCUGAGCCAAACUCUUAGAGUUACCUGCCUCUAUCUCACCUGGGUUGUGCCCCACAUCAUCCCCAGUGCCCUCCCAGUCCCUCCCAGUGGCCCCCAGUGCCCUCCCAGUGCCUCCCAGUCUCCUCCCAGUGCCUCCCAGUUCCCACCUCAGUCCUCCCAGGCCAAGCUCUUAGAGUUACCUGCCUCUAUCUCACCUGGGUUGUGCCCCACACCCUUCCCAGUGCCCUCCCAGUCCCUCCCAGUACCUCCCAGUGUCCCCCAGUGCCCUCCCAGUCCCUCCCAGUGCCCUCCCAAUCCCUCCCAGUGGCCUCCCAGUGCCCUCCCAAUCCCCUCCCAAUCCCUCCCAGUGGUCUCCAGUGCCCUCCCAGUCCUUCCCAGUACCUCCCAGUCCUUCCCAGUCCCUCCCAAUCCCCCCCAGUCCCUCCCAGCGGCCCCCAGUGCCCUCCCAUUCCCUUCCCGGUGCCCCCCAGUCCCUCCCAGUGCCCACCUUGGUCCUCCUGGGCCGCGUCGUUGUAGUUGACCUGCUUGCGGACGCGCUUGCCCUUGCCCAGGUUUCGUGCCAGGUCCUCCUGCUGCUGCUCGUAGUGGUGCCGCAGCAGCUUCUCCCAGUAGUCGGGGUCGACGUUCUCCUCCUGCUUGAUGAUCUCGCGCUCGAUCUCCUCGAUCUGUGGGCAUGGAAACGGGGGAGAGGGCGGGGGGGGUCAUGUGGGGCCAGGGCUCGCAGCGCUGCCUUCACAUCUCCAUCCCCACCCCCACUGUCCCAUCGUCCUCGUCGUCUUCGUUAUCUCCAUCCCCGCUGUCCCCAUCAUCAUCCUCGUCGUCUUCAUUAUCUCCAUCCCUACUGUCUCCAUCAUCAUCCUCCAUCAUCAUCCUCGUCUUCGUUAUCUCCAUCCCAGCUGUCCCCAUCAUCGUCCUCAUCGUCGUUAUCUCCAUCCCCACCCCCGCUGUCCCCAUCAUCGUCCUCGUCGUCUUCGUUAUCUCCGUCCCCACUGUCCCCAUCAUCAUCCUCACCGUCGUUAUCUCCAUCCCCACCCCCAAUGUCCUCAUCAUCAUCCUCAUUGUCUUCGUUAUCUCCAUCCCCAUCACUGUCCCCAUCAUCGUCCUCAUCAUCAUUAUCUCCAUCCCCACCCCCAAUGUCCCCAUCAUCAUCCUCAUCGUCUUUGUUAUCUCCAUCCCUACUGUCUCCAUCAUCAUCCUCCAUCAUCAUCCUCAUUGUCUUCGUUAUCUCCAUCCCCACUGUCCCCAUCACCAUCCUCAUCUUUGUUAUCUCCAUCCCAGCUGUACCCAUCAUUGUCCUCAUCACCUCCGUUAUCUCCAUCCCCAUCACUGUUCCCAUCAUCAUCCUCACCGUCUCUGUUAUCUCCAUCCCCACUGUCCUCAUCAUCAUUGUCUCCGUUAUCUCCAUCCCCAUCACUGUCCCCAUCGCCAUCCUCAUCAUCUUCAUUAUCUCCAUCCCCACUGUCCCCAUCAUCAUCCUCACCGUCGUUAUCUCCAUCCCCACCCUCAAUGUCCUCUCAUCAACCUCAUUGUCUUCGUUAUCUCCAUCCCCACUGUCCCCAUCAUUGUCCUCAUCAUCUUCGUUAUCUCCAUCCCCAGUCCUCAUCGUCUCCGUUAUCUCCAUCUGCACUGUCCCCAUCACCAUCCUCAUCGUCUUCGUUAUCUCCAUCCCCAUCAUUGUCCCCAUCAUCAUCCUCGUCAUCUCCGUUAUCUCCAUCCCCGCUGUCCCCAUCAUCAUCCUCACUGUCUUCGUUAUCUCCAUCCCAGCCAUCCCCAUCAUCGUCCUCAUCAUCGUUAUCUCCAUCCCCACCCCCACUGUCCCCAUCAUCAUCCUCGUCAUCUUUGUUAUCUCCAUCCUCAUCACUGUCCUCAUCAUCGUCCUCAUCGUCUUCGUUAUCUCCAUGCCCAUCCCCACUGUCCCCAUCGUCCUCAUCACCUCCACCUCCACCACCCCCAUGGUCCCCAUCUUCAUCACCUCCAUCCCCAUCGUCCUCAUCAUCACCUCCAUUCUCAUCAACCUCCGUCAUCUCCAUCCCCUCCCCGUCAUCCUCAUCACCUCCACCCCCAUGGUCCCCAUCUCCAUCAUUUCCAUCCCCGUUGUCCUCAUCAUCUUCAUCACCUCCACCUCCACUGCCCUCACUGUCCUCAUCAUCUCCAUCCCCAUCAUCAUCUCCAUUCUCAUCAUCUCCAUCAUCUCCAUCCCCGUUGUCCCCAUCGUCAUCACCUCCACCUCCAUUGCCCCCACUUGUCCCCAUCUUCAUCAUCUCCAUCCCCACUGACCUCAUCAUCAUCUCCAUCCCUACUGCCCACAUCAUCUUUAUCUCAUCUCUAUCCCCCCUCCAUCAUCUCCAUCAUCUCCAUCCCCCUUGUCCCCAUCUCCAUCAUUUCCAGCCCCACUGUUUUCAUCAUCUCCAUCACCUCCAUCCCCCUCCCCAUCAUCCUCACCAUCUUCAUCUCCAUCCUCAUAAUCUCCAUCAUCUCCAUCCCCAUCGUUUUCAUCAACUUCAUCACCUCCAUCCCCCUCCCCAUCAUCUUAAUCACCUCCAACCCCACUGUCCUCAUCAUCAUCUUCAUCUCCAUCCCUAUUGUCCCCAUCUCCAUCAUUUCCCUCCCCAUCAGACUCAUCAUCCUCAUCAUCUCCAUCCCCGCCAUCCUCAUCUUCAUCAUCUCCAUCCCCAUCAUCCACAUCAUCCUCAUCUCAUCUCCACCCCACCAUCCUCAUCAUCUCCAUCCCCUUCAUCCUCAUCCUCAUCUCUAUCUCCAUCACCUCCACCUACGUUGUUCCCACCAACCCCACGUCCAUCGUCCCCAUCACCUCAUCCCCACAUCCACUGUCACCGUCAUCCCCACAUCCAUCAACCCCACCAUCCCCACGUCCAUUAUCCCCACCGUCCCCACGUCCAUCGUCCCCAUCACCUCAUCCCCACGUCCAUUGUCCCCAUCGUCCCUAUGUCCAUCAUCCCCAUUGUCCCCAC
rnacentral:lncRNA from 1 species